CAUAUCAAAUAGCGGAGGAAAAGAAACUAACAAGGAUUCCCCUAGUAACGGCGAGUGAAGAGGGAAGAGCCCAAGAUUGAAAGCUGGCGUCUUCGGCGUCCGCAUUGUAAUCUCAAGAAGUGUUUUCCGCUUCGGACCAUGCCUAAGUCCCUUGGAAAAGGGCAUCAUAGAGGGUGAUAAUCCCGUACAUGGCAUGGAGCGCCCGAAGCUUUGUGAUACGCUUUCUAAGAGUCGAGUUGUUUGGGAAUGCAGCUCAAAAUGGGUGGUAAAUGCCAUCUAAGGCUAAAUAUUGGGGAGAGACCGAUAGCGAACAAGUACAGUGAUGGAAAGAUGAAAAGAACUUUGAAAAGAGAGUUAAACAGUACGUGAAAUUGCCAAAAGGGAAGGGUAGGAGGUCAGAGAUGCGGCCUAGGAUUCAGCCUUGCUUUUGCUUGGUGUUUUUCCUAGAUUGCAGGCCAACGUCGGUUUUGGGCACUGGAGAAGGGUGGAAGGAAUGUGGCACCUCUCGGGGUGUGUUAUAGCCUUCUACUGGAUACAGCGACCGAGACCGAGGACAGCAGCGUACUCGCAAGAGCGGGUGUUACAGGCAC
rnacentral:rRNA from 1 species